GUAGCUGGCUAAGUUAGUCCCUUGUUAAAUCCACCGAAUUAAUCGUUGGAUUGCGGGGGAUACUGCUUGGCUAGGGCACGAGAGAGGCAGACGGUAUUUCCGGGGUAGGGGUGAAAUCCUAUAAUCCCGGGAAGACCACCAGUGGCGAAGGCUGUACUGCUAGAACGCGCCCGACGGUGAGGGAUGAAAGCUGGGGGAGCGAACCGGAUUAGAUACCCGGGUAGUCCCAGCUGUAAACGAUGCAGACUAGGUGUUUGGACGGCCACGUGCCGUUUCUAGUGCCGCA
rnacentral:rRNA from 1 species